CGAAGGAUGCAAGCGUUAUCCGGAUUUAUUGGGUUUAAAGGGAGCGUAGGCGGUCUUAUAAGUCAGUGGUGAAAUCUCGUUGCUUAACAACGACCGUGCCAUUGAUACUGUAGGACUUGAGUACAGUUGCCGUUGGCGGAAUGUGUCAUGUAGCGGUGAAAUGCAUAGAUAUGACACAGAACACCGAUCGCGAAGGCAGCUGACGAAACUGUAACUGACGCUGAGGCUCGAAAGCGUGGGGAUCAAACAGGAUUAGAUACCCUGGUAGUCCACGCCCUAAACUAUGAUUACUCGCUGUCGGCGAUAUACAGUCGGUAGCUAAGCGAAAGCGUUAAGUAAUCCACCUGGGGAGUACGCCCGCAAGGGUG
rnacentral:rRNA from 1 species